UACGGGGGGAGCAAGCGUUGUUCGGAUUUACUGGGCGUAAAGGGCGCGUAGGCGGCCACCGCAAGUCGGUUGUGAAGUCUCUGGGCUUAACCCAGAAAGGUCAACCGAUACUGCGGGGCUAGAGUGCAGAAGGGGCAACUGGAAUUCUCGGUGUAGCGGUGAAAUGCGUAGAUAUCGAGAGGAACACCUGCGGCGAAGGCGGGUUGCUGGGCUGACACUGACGCUGAUGCGCGAAAGCUAGGGGAGCGAACGGG
rnacentral:rRNA from 1 species